GGCGUGGCAUCAUCAAGAUUCACGUACAAAAUGCAAAAGCUUUUUGAGGAUGAGAAUCUUGAUGAUGCUGCAUCGGCAA
rnacentral:pre_miRNA from 1 species